rnacentral:lncRNA from 9 species
AGAGCAAAGCCACCACGGUAGGGACAUUGAGGCUAUUUACUAAGCACAAGUCACACAACUUAUACCCAUAGAAACGUGAGGAAGGACAGACCAAAUAUUUUCAAAAGGAAUCAUGAACAGAUUUAUCAGGUUCAUUACCAGCAAUAAAGUUCUCCUUUUCUCAAUUGAAAACAUGUAUCCACUUAUGGAAUAUGAUCCAUUUCUCAAAAGGGAGCUUUCAGACACUGUAUGUGUGCAUGCAUGUGUUUAUUUCUGUCAGUGUGUCUGUGUUCUGUUUUUUCUUGCAUCUGGAUAAUGUAAUUUCACUAAAAAAUGUUUCAAUCAAUCUGAAUUUCAUUUGUGUUUCUUUCCAACGAAAUUUACAUCGCCUUUUCAUUUUGUUUUACGGAAGGACCUCAGGAAAAAUAUGGUAAAGCCUCUUUUAUACCCCCUCACCCCCCAAACACUGUAGAACACCUGCGUUUGUGGUGUUGUAGAGAUAUCCCAGCUUUUAACCAACGUGUCACCACUGGCUUGCCCUCUCCCAGAUCUCUGCUAUUCUGGCACAAUAUUGCAGUUAGGGACUCUCCCAUAUUCCUCCCUUCUCUGCUCUUGCAAAGCCUGUAUGUUCCAACAUAGUCUGUGGGUCAAGUGUAAACUCAAGGGGCAUCCCUGCACUGCCUCUGAGCACAUGACCCAAGUGUCCCCAGGUAUUCGAAGACUUCCCAUUGUUUUACCUAGGAAUUUUUUAUUUAGAACCAAUGAGAGUAAUUUUCAUUCUUUCCUUUUUACUUCAUUGACACAGCUGUCAAUUUUGCAAACUCCAAAUACUUCAAAUAUUUGUAGAAGGAUUUCAUAGCUUAAGGAAAGACCAAUAAUAAUCAUAAUACAUUUUUGAUUUCUAAGUUUUCAUGCGAAUGACACAAGGAACUACUGUCCUACAAUGUUCCCAGAAGGCUUUUCAUAAAACGCAAACGUAGUCCUUAGAAGUUUAAUACCCUGUUUUUCUAAUGACAUUUUUGUCAGUGUCCUUUCGUUUUCAGAGGGAAUCAAAUUCACCUCUCAAUGCAUGUAGCUGGCUUCAUGUAGCCCCUGCUACAGGCCUUGCUUGCAACCAAUGGAAGUUUUUUCCUCUCUGCUUCCUCCUCUCUUUUCAAGUAACUCUGCCUUGUGCGAGUGUGUAUCUCCAUGUUAGACUGAAAAGGGGACCGAAAUAAGAGGAGCUUUAUUUUGCCAUGAGUGAAAAUAGAAAUCCACCCCCAAAAGUUAUGUAAUCUUUGCAGAGUGAAAUGUGAACACAGACAGGUUCCCAAGAGCCAAACCCUGCAUCUUCUCUAGCAGCACCUCUUGAGUAUCCUCUAGUCCAUUGUUCAUGGAUACCUUAUUAAACAAAGUUACGACAAGGAAGAGAAGUGGUGAUUUGUAUUUGGCAGUGACAAAGAAUGCCUUAAAGGUAUCCAACCAAAGAGUAAGGUCCCGAGCGUUGUCCAGAUAAUUUAAGAGCUUUGUACAAAGGUAACCACCAUCACUAAUGAUCCUGAAAUUUUUCCACCAGACCGUAACAUCACUUUUUUUUUUGGCUUUAAUUUUGGACCGGUAAUCUCAGGACAAAAGCAGCUCUCAGGCACGCUGGUACAUAGGUGUGUGCCUCUGUAUGUGUGCGGGUUUGCCUAAAUCCUGAUGCAUUUAAAGUUGUAGGAGAACUUGUCUCUAAAUUUCAAUUUCCCUUGUGGUUUGAAUCCAUUAUAAUUAUCUGGGUGUUUCCCCUUUAUUUUUUCAGAUGAUCUUCAAAAGAAACUCAGUAAAUCAAGUCCAGAAAGAAAUGGGUAAAUUUUUUGACAUUUUUUAACAGAUGUAGUUCUUUAAAACAUCUUUUCCCACCGUUUCUCAACAUUCCCUCCUCCCUGCUCCUGUCCGCCCUUUCGCUUCUUGUGGGUUUCACGUUACCCUAUCUUCUCUUUGACGUCCUGAGGUCCUCCCACAUCACAUUCCCUUCCCACCAUCUCUCUGGCUGUUUGUUAUUCCUUCCAGUCUCUUCCUUGCUGUACACCCAGGUGGUGUUCUACCUCCCUGGUGAUUACCCUAAUUUCAUGAUAAGGUUGGUGAGAUGAUGAAGAUUCGCUUAAGGUGAGUGUGGUCAUUGCCAUUCGAGAGAAGGCUUCCUUUCCCUUGGGUUCUCCAAGUGCUCUGAGGUGGAGUGCCUCUUGCUUUACAGAUGAUCGCGUUCUGGCUUUUAGGGGAAGCAUUCAGACUCCAAAGCUGUUGCAUGAGAUGAGUUCCUUCUUUGUUGACUGGGUAAACACUGUGUACACUGAUGUCAAGCGUACUCUUGAAACGAGCCAGUCCGCUUUGCUUGACCCUAUUCUCAAGGGAUAUUGGUAAUAGUUUUGCAUGACAAUGUGGGAUUUUUCCUUUUAAACAACAAUGAUUACUCUCCUUUCUUUUUUAUUUUAAUUCAUUUAAUAAUUACUCCAACACAUUUCUCUUACACAUACACUUUUCCGUCAAUCAAAUAAACGUGAUUGACAAUAUAUUUCCGGCGUCAGUGGCUGUUUUCUAAGAUAACCCUACAUCAUUUCUGAGAGCCUAGUGCAAGAACUACAAAAUCCUCAUGUCCCGACGUAUCACGUUACAACCCUGAAACUGUAGUGAGGUUUUCAGGCGGCAUUCAUUAACUUGAGCAAUUGCAUUUCUUUGGAAAUGGACGUUACUUAGGUAGCUUUUAGACACAAAUACUGGCAAACUAAGAUAUUACCUGCAUUUCCCUUAUGAUGCUAAGAAAUCUUGUUUAGAAAUACAUGCAUGAUUGUGUGUUUUCUCUCAGCCAGGAUGAUGGCUCAGUUCAAGGAUGGUGAGUAAUGCUUAUCUCUCAGAAGUUGUCAUUCUUUUCUCUCUCUCAGAUUCUGCCCCCCACAAGCAAAGGGAUGCAGAAAUAUAACAAAUAUGUUUAUAGUGGGCAAAGCAGCAUUGGAACCAUUGCCUCUGUAGAGUCCAGCACUUGGAAUAAAUUCCCUCUGAAGUGCAAACAAACCACUAGCAAUUCAGCAUGGGUUUCCUCCUCCCCCCCUUCUAUCCUUCCAUCCUCCCUCCCUUUCUUCCUUUUACCCGCCCCCCUUCCCACUCCUCCUCCACACCCCCAACCUUUGAGGUUUCUACAUUUCUGUCCUCCACCUGAUCAUUUUUCAAAUCAUGUGUGGAAGAAAUUGAAUAUGAAGCUAGAAGACAGAGAGGAGAGAAAAAAAAAAAAAAGUCCAAAGAGCUCACGAAAGGAAAUGUGACAGAGACAGGGAGAAAGGGAAAACACUGGGAGAGAAAAGAUGGAAGGAAAAAACGGAAAAGGGUUUCCGAUUUUGUUCUUUUCCAACCUGGAAAAAUGCACCAUUAUACCCUGGGGAGGGACACGGACUCUGAUAAAGAAUCUCCUACGACCAAAGAUGUUUUAAAUGAACCCCUGCCGUGUGCAAAAUCAUAUGCUGAAAAAGACAGAAACUCCAAGCAUUCAUUUCAUCAACUCAACACAUUACUCCUUAUUUUCACAAGUGGUGUGUAUGGGAUAGUAAAUCUUAAUCGUUUCAUUACUUUUAAUUACACCUGACAUUGUUUUUUGAGUGUAGGCAAAAUGGUUACUGUCUGCUAAAAUCUGAGGAAACAAAAGUGAAAAAUAUGUUAUUCGAUCAAAUUUAUCAUCUCCCCUAUUGCCUCUCCAUCCUGAAGACAUUAUAAAUAGUUAUCCUGGGUGAAUGUUGGAUAAGUAGGACAUGGGGAUGGGGCAGGCCUUCUUCAGAUAUACUUUAGCAGAUCAGAAAUAGAGGCUUAGGUAUAUGAAAGAGUAUUUUCUUUGGUUGCUGUUAUUCUUGAGUUAAACCUUAGGAAUGUAUGUAUCACCACAGAAUUCUGGACAGCCAGGCUGCUUUGUCUGUCAGAUGGUAGGUUCUCAUGUUCACUUGUUCCUUGCAGAUUGGAGGAGAGAACAGUUGCAGAAUGGUGAGUCUGUGGUGGUCCAACAGAGGCCCUGCUCAUUGUGGGGGAGUCUCAGGGGAAGACGGGUGCAGGGGAGCUGCACAAAAGGGAGACCCUCUGGCCCAAGCCUACUGACCUUUCCCAGAAACGUGAUGACCACUUUUCUUUGCACUAACUCUGGCUCUGGACGCAGCCAGAUAUGAUGGCAAGUCCCAUUUUCACAUCAUUGUAUUUUUGGCAUGCUCCAUCUGUUUCUUUACCACGUGUCUUUGAUGCUCAGUGAUCAACUUUCUCAACACCAACCUACACAUAUAAACUUAUGUGUAAACGCCCACCUACAUGUAUAACGUGACAUCUUAAGGUUUUCAUUUCAUUGUUAUUUCAACUGACAUUUAUCAUCUUCGCGUGUUAUUCCUUGGAUUUUCCGUACCCUUGCUUCUCAAGCAGAAAAUUCCUUUUCACCAAAUAUAGCCUAAUAACAAUUACCUUGUAAAAUUUUGCUGUUUUUCAAGUUUCUUUGUCCAAAAUAUUUUCUGUCAUUUGACUGAGAAGCCCAUUCACUGCGAAUUAAUUUUAUGUCUUUUCCUUUCAUCUGACGUUGUGAAAGUAAACGUCAUCGAGGUAACGUUAAUAAUCAAACUCCCAUAAGAUACAGUUACGCAGUAGUCGGCGGACAGAAUGCUGUGACCAGAGGCCCCCAUCACCCUGACCUGACCUGACCUGACCUGCGUGUCCUGUAAAAGCCCUAGUUCAGGAUUCUUUAAUUCAGGGUCUCGUGGCUUUAUAGAGCAAAGCCACCACGGUAGGGACAUUGAGGCUAUUUACUAAGCACAAGUCACACAACUUAUACCCAUAGAAACGUGAGGAAGGACAGACCAAAUAUUUUCAAAAGGAAUCAUGAACAGAUUUAUCAGGUUCAUUACCAGCAAUAAAGUUCUCCUUUUCUCAAUUGAAAACAUGUAUCCACUUAUGGAAUAUGAUCCAUUUCUCAAAAGGGAGCUUUCAGACACUGUAUGUGUGCAUGCAUGUGUUUAUUUCUGUCAGUGUGUCUGUGUUCUGUUUUUUCUUGCAUCUGGAUAAUGUAAUUUCACUAAAAAAUGUUUCAAUCAAUCUGAAUUUCAUUUGUGUUUCUUUCCAACGAAAUUUACAUCGCCUUUUCAUUUUGUUUUACGGAAGGACCUCAGGAAAAAUAUGGUAAAGCCUCUUUUAUACCCCCUCACCCCCCAAACACUGUAGAACACCUGCGUUUGUGGUGUUGUAGAGAUAUCCCAGCUUUUAACCAACGUGUCACCACUGGCUUGCCCUCUCCCAGAUCUCUGCUAUUCUGGCACAAUAUUGCAGUUAGGGACUCUCCCAUAUUCCUCCCUUCUCUGCUCUUGCAAAGCCUGUAUGUUCCAACAUAGUCUGUGGGUCAAGUGUAAACUCAAGGGGCAUCCCUGCACUGCCUCUGAGCACAUGACCCAAGUGUCCCCAGGUAUUCGAAGACUUCCCAUUGUUUUACCUAGGAAUUUUUUAUUUAGAACCAAUGAGAGUAAUUUUCAUUCUUUCCUUUUUACUUCAUUGACACAGCUGUCAAUUUUGCAAACUCCAAAUACUUCAAAUAUUUGUAGAAGGAUUUCAUAGCUUAAGGAAAGACCAAUAAUAAUCAUAAUACAUUUUUGAUUUCUAAGUUUUCAUGCGAAUGACACAAGGAACUACUGUCCUACAAUGUUCCCAGAAGGCUUUUCAUAAAACGCAAACGUAGUCCUUAGAAGUUUAAUACCCUGUUUUUCUAAUGACAUUUUUGUCAGUGUCCUUUCGUUUUCAGAGGGAAUCAAAUUCACCUCUCAAUGCAUGUAGCUGGCUUCAUGUAGCCCCUGCUACAGGCCUUGCUUGCAACCAAUGGAAGUUUUUUCCUCUCUGCUUCCUCCUCUCUUUUCAAGUAACUCUGCCUUGUGCGAGUGUGUAUCUCCAUGUUAGACUGAAAAGGGGACCGAAAUAAGAGGAGCUUUAUUUUGCCAUGAGUGAAAAUAGAAAUCCACCCCCCAAAAGUUAUGUAAUCUUUGCAGAGUGAAAUGUGAACACAGACAGGUUCCCAAGAGCCAAACCCUGCAUCUUCUCUAGCAGCACCUCUUGAGUAUCCUCUAGUCCAUUGUUCAUGGAUACCUUAUUAAACAAAGUUACGACAAGGAAGAGAAGUGGUGAUUUGUAUUUGGCAGUGACAAAGAAUGCCUUAAAGGUAUCCAACCAAAGAGUAAGGUCCCGAGCGUUGUCCAGAUAAUUUAAGAGCUUUGUACAAAGGUAACCACCAUCACUAAUGAUCCUGAAAUUUUUCCACCAGACCGUAACAUCACUUUUUUUUUUGGCUUUAAUUUUGGACCGGUAAUCUCAGGACAAAAGCAGCUCUCAGGCACGCUGGUACAUAGGUGUGUGCCUCUGUAUGUGUGCGGGUUUGCCUAAAUCCUGAUGCAUUUAAAGUUGUAGGAGAACUUGUCUCUAAAUUUCAAUUUCCCUUGUGGUUUGAAUCCAUUAUAAUUAUCUGGGUGUUUCCCCUUUAUUUUUUCAGAUGAUCUUCAAAAGAAACUCAGUAAAUCAAGUCCAGAAAGAAAUGGGUAAAUUUUUUGACAUUUUUUAACAGAUGUAGUUCUUUAAAACAUCUUUUCCCACCGUUUCUCAACAUUCCCUCCUCCCUGCUCCUGUCCGCCCUUUCGCUUCUUGUGGGUUUCACGUUACCCUAUCUUCUCUUUGACGUCCUGAGGUCCUCCCACAUCACAUUCCCUUCCCACCAUCUCUCUGGCUGUUUGUUAUUCCUUCCAGUCUCUUCCUUGCUAUACACCCAGGUGGUGUUCUACCUCCCUGGUGAUUACCCUAAUUUCAUGAUAAGGUUGGUGAGAUGAUGAAGAUUCGCUUAAGGUGAGUGUGGUCAUUGCCAUUCGAGAGAAGGCUUCCUUUCCCUUGGGUUCUCCAAGUGCUCUGAGGUGGAGUGCCUCUUGCUUUACAGAUGAUCGCGUUCUGGCUUUUAGGGGAAGCAUUCAGACUCCAAAGCUGUUGCAUGAGAUGAGUUCCUUCUUUGUUGACUGGGUAAACACUGUGUACACUGAUGUCAAGCGUACUCUUGAAACGAGCCAGUCCGCUUUGCUUGACCCUAUUCUCAAGGGAUAUUGGUAAUAGUUUUGCAUGACAAUGUGGGAUUUUUCCUUUUAAACAACAAUGAUUACUCUCCUUUCUUUUUUAUUUUAAUUCAUUUAAUAAUUACUCCAACACAUUUCUCUUCCUUCAGGGUCUUACACAAACACUUUUCCGUCAAUCAAAUAAACGUGAUUGACAAUAUAUUUCCGGCGUCAGUGGCUGUUUUCUAAGAUAACCCUACAUCAUUUCUGAGAGCCUAGUGCAAGAACUACAAAAUCCUCAUGUCCCGACGUAUCACGUUACAACCCUGAAACUGUAGUGAGGUUUUCAGGCGGCAUUCAUUAACUUGAGCAAUUGCAUUUCUUUGGAAAUGGACGUUACUUAGGUAGCUUUUAGACACAAAUACUGGCAAACUAAGAUAUUACCUGCAUUUCCCUUAUGAUGCUAAGAAAUCUUGUUUAGAAAUACAUGCAUGAUUGUGUGUUUUCUCUCAGCUAGGAUGAUGGCUCAGUUCAAGGAUGGUGAGUAAUGCUUAUCUCUCAGAAGUUGUCAUUCUUUUCUCUCUCUCAGAUUCUGCCCCCCACAAGCAAAGGGAUGCAGAAAUAUAACAAAUAUGUUUAUAGUGGGCAAAGCAGCAUUGGAACCAUUGCCUCUGUAGAGUCCAGCACUUGGAAUAAAUUCCCUCUGAAGUGCAAACAAACCACUAGCAAUUCAGCAUGGGUUUCCUCCUCCCCCCCUUCUAUCCUUCCAUCCUCCCUCCCUUUCUUCCUUUUACCCGCCCCCCUUCCCACUCCUCCUCCACACCCCCAACCUUUGAGGUUUCUACAUUUCUGUCCUCCACCUGAUCAUUUUUCACAUCAUGUGUGGAAGAAAUUGAAUAUGAAGCUAGAAGACAG